ensembl:lncRNA
AGUGAUUUCCCCUGAGGUAAAAUCAGCAGAGCAAAAAAAAAAAAAAAAAAAAAAGCCAUCGUCUAAAAAAAAUCCCUCACCAUAAACCCAAGGGGACUUGUCAGCUCCACGGCAGAAAUUGGAGAGACCACUCAAGCAAGAAGAGGAUUAGGCUGCCUCCUAUCAAAGCAUGCACAGACUGGAUUUUUCCAGCAACUUCAACAGAAUGAGGGUCCAUCAGUUUUCACAAUUAUAAAACUGGCCCCGAAGGCAGUGUGAAGGAUUUAAAUAUGUAAAGACCAACGCAUCACACUGCCGGAUUUGGAGUGCUGGACUGGGGCCCAGAUCUGCAU